rnacentral:rRNA from 1 species
GAUCAUGGCUCAGGAUAAACGCUAGCUACAGGCUUAACACAUGCAAGUCGAGGGGCAGCGGGAUUGAAGCUUGCUUCAAUUGCCGGCGACCGGCGCACGGGUGAGUAACGCGUAUCCAACCUUCCGUACACUCAGGGAUAGCCUUUCGAAAGAAAGAUUAAUACCUGAUGGUAUCUUAAGCACACAUGUAAUUAAGAUUAAAGAUUUAUCGGUGUACAAUGGGGAUGCGUUCCAUUAGGUAG